rnacentral:rRNA from 1 species
GAUGAACGCUGGCGGCGUGCCUAAUACAUGCAAGUCGAGCGAACAGACGAGGAGCUUGCUCCUCUGACGUUAGCGGCGGACGGGUGAGUAACACGUGGAUAACCUACCUAUAAGACUGGGAUAACUUCGGGAAACCGGAGCUAAUACCGGAUAAUAUAUUGAACCGCAUGGUUCAAUAGUGAAAGACGGUUUUGCUGUCACUUAUAGAUGGAUCCGCGCCGCAUUAGCUAGUUGGUAAGGUAACGGCUUACCAAGGCAACGAUGCGUAGCCGACCUGAGAGGGUGAUCGGCCACACUGGAACUGAGACACGGUCCAGACUCCUACGGGAGGCAGCAGUAGGGAAUCUUCCGCAAUGGGCGAAAGCCUGACGGAGCAACGCCGCGUGAGUGAUGAAGGUCUUCGGAUCGUAAAACUCUGUUAUUAGGGAAGAACAAAUGUGUAAGUAACUAUGCACGUCUUGACGGUUCCUAAUCAGAAAGCCACGGCUAACUACGUGCCAGCAGCCGCCGCCG